AAAUUUUGACCUCGUAUCAGGUAAGAGUACCCACUGAACUUAAGCAUAUCAAUAAGUGGAGGAAAAGAAACCAACAGGGAUUGCCUUAGUAGCGGCGAGUGAAGCGGCAAAAGCUCAAAUUUGGAAUCUGCCAGCAAUGGCCGAGUUGUAAUUUGUAGAUGGUAACUCUGCAAGGAGUCUUUGCUCAAGUUUUCUGGAAUGAAACAUCAUGGAGGGUGAUAAUCCCGUGAGGCAUUGACGUUACUUGCGUGUAGAGUACUAUCAAAGAGUCGAGUUGUUUGGGAAUGCAGCUCAAAGUGGGUGGUAGACACCAUCUAAAGCUAAAUAUUGGCGAGAGACCGAUAGCGAACAAGUACUGUGAAGGAAAGAUGAAAAGCACUUUGAAAAGAGAGUGAAAAAGUACGUGAAAUUGUUAAUAUGGAAGGGUAUAAAAUUAGACAUGAAGCUUAGAGUUCGGCAGUCUCUCGAGAUUGUUUUGUCUCUUUGUUUUUUUACCAGCAUCAGUUUCGACAGGAGGAUAAAUGGCAUGGAAUGUAGCUGCUUGCAGUGUUAUAGACUUGUCCAAUACUCUUUGUCGGGAUUGAGGUCAGCCUUUUUGUAGGAUGCUGGGGUAAUGAUUUUAUACCACCCGUCUUGAAACACGGACC
rnacentral:rRNA from 1 species